AACGAACGCUGGCGGCAGGCCUAACACAUGCAAGUCGAGCGGAGAUGAUGUGAGGAAGUUUUCGGAUGGAAUCACAUUAUUUUAGCGGCGGACGGGUGAGUAACGCGUGAGCGACCUACCUUGCACAGGGGGAUAACGGACCGAAAGGUUCACUAAUACCGCAUGAGACCACGGUGUUGCAUGACACAGGGGUCAAAGGAGAGAUCCGGUGCAAGACGGGCUCGCGUCCGAUUAGGUAGUUGGUGGGGUAACGGCUCACCAAGCCUAUGAUCGGUAGCCGACCUGAGAGGGUGAUCGGCCACAUUGGAACUGAGAGACGGUCCAAACUCCUACGGGAGGCAGCAGUGGGGAAUAUUGGGCAAUGGGGGAAACCCUGACCCAGCAACGCCGCGUGAAGGAAGAAGGUUUUCGGAUUGUAAACUUCUGUCCUUGGUGAAGAGAAGAAGACGGUAGCCAAGGAGGAAGCCCCGGCUAACUACGUGCCAGCAGCCGCCGUAACAC
rnacentral:rRNA from 1 species